AUACGGAGGGGGCUAGCGUUGUUCGGAAUUACUGGGCGUAAAGCGCGCGUAGGCGGGCUGGUAAGUUGGGGGUGAAAUCCCAGGGCUCAACCCUGGAACUGCCCUCAAUACUGCCAGUCUUGAGUUCGAGAGAGGUAAGUGGAAUUCCUAGUGUAGAGGUGAAAUUCGUAGAUAUUAGGAAGAACACCAGUGGCGAAGGCGGCUUACUGGCUCGAUACUGACGCUGAGGCGCGAAAGCGUGGGGAGCAAACAGGAUUAGAUACCCCAGUAGUCC
rnacentral:rRNA from 1 species